UAACGCGUGGGAAUAUACCCUUCACUACGGAAUAGCCUCGGGAAACUGAGAGUAAUACCGUAUACGCCCUUUGGGGGAAAGAUUUAUCGGUGAAGGAUUAGCCCGCGUCUGAUUAGAUAGUUGGUGGGGUAAUGGCCUACCAAGUCUACGAUCAGUAGCUGGUUUGAGAGGAUGAUCAGCAACACUGGGACUGAGACACGGCCCAGACUCCUACGGGAGGCAGCAGUGGGGAAUCUUAGACAAUGGGCGCAAGCCUGAUCUAGCCAUGCCGCGUGAGUGACGAAGGCCUUAGGGUCGUAAAGCUCUUUCGCCAGGGAUGAUAAUGACAGUACCUGGUAAAGAAACCCCGGCUAACUCCGUGCCAGCAGCCGCGGUAAUACGGAGGGGGUUAGCGUUGUUCGGAAUUACUGGGCGUAAAGCGCGCGUAGGCGGAUUGGAAAGUUGGGGGUGAAAUCCCAGGGCUCAACCCUGGAACUGCCUCCAAAACUAUCAGUCUAGAGUUCGAGAGAGGUGAGUGGAAUUCCGAGUGUAGAGGUGAAAUUCGUAGAUAUUCGGAGGAACACCAGUGGCGAAGGCGGCUCACUGGCUCGAUACUGACGCUGAGGUGCGA
rnacentral:rRNA from 1 species